GAGAGAAAUGGCAGAUCUGCUAUGAAGAAUGACAGAUUCCCAGAUGAUUUGUUGGUUCUAUCAUGUGAAGAAGAUUGUGAAUUUUGUAUUCCUUUCCUCGAAAAAGUAUCUGUAGAUUGAUUUUUGGAGCGAGACUUGUUUAUUCUGAGAAAGAACUGGGGAAAAGUGAAAGGGAAGAACUGAAAUCAAAAUCCAACAACCAGCUGAGAAAAUCAUCAACAAUCCUCUUCUUACCUGUUACUGUAGCCCAUUUAUUUAAUCUUCAUAUCUGAGAGAAAUCAGUGAGUCUUGUCGUCGGAUGGGUGUUUCCUUUUCCUGCCCAUUUGCUAAAUGCAGUGAUGUGGAGAAUGGCUUAGAAUCCAUCACUGUGAAGUCCAUUAGCUUUGGUGAUGAUGGAGUCAGAACACCUCUUAGAUCCAUCACUUCCACCUUAUUUUUGGAUCUCAUCUUACGAUCUAAUAAAUCAAUUUUGAUUUGAAAUGCUUCAUAGAUAGUGUAAAGAUUUCCACUUGCAAAUGAGUAUUUAGUUCUAUUUUCAGUUUAGUUAGUGGACUUUAAACAUUAAGGAAACACUUAAAUGUUAUAUACUAUGUUUCAUCUUUCACAAGUGAUCUUUUUGAGAAGAUUUUCUUCUGGUACCUCUGCACAAAGUGAGUCUUGUUGAUGGUAAAGUUGAAAACAUGGUGUAUAACAUCUUUGAAAACCUAAAAAUUAAGGGGGGAAAUCGUGAAAACAAUAUCCCCUGUGCAGCUCUAAUUGGAAGCUCUACCUUUCUUCAUUCCGAUGACUGUUUCCUUCCAAGCUGAGCUCGUAUUCAGCACCGAUGAAAAUAUUGUAGGUGAAUCCUCAACACUUAACUGCAAAAGCUUGAAACAAGAUCAAAGCUUCACAUACAAAAGGCUGAAACACUUGGCUGGUCUCAAUUGUCAACUCCAUCAGGGAUAGCAGUGGUAGAGCUGGUGACUAUUCCCAGGAUGGAAGGUACCCUUCACGUAUAUGAGAAGUUGUUCAAGCAAUUAAUUU